AGAGGAAGUAAAAGUCGUAACAAGGUUUCCGUAGGUGAACCUGCGGAAGGAUCAUUACCGAGUUAGGGUCGUCCAACGGCCCGACCUCCCAACCCUGUGUCUACUACCUUGUCGUUGCUUCGGCGGACCGGUUGAUCAACUGGUCUUGACCGCCGGGGACCCGUGCCCUGGAGAGCGUCCGCCGAUGGCCCAACCACAAAACUCUGGUACCGAAAAAUUGUCGUCUGAAUUACCUUGAUCAUGGAUCAAAAACAAAAAUUUAAAACUUUCAACAACGGAUCUCUUGGUUCUGGCAUCGAUGAAGAACGCAGCGAAAUGCGAUAAGUAAUGCGAAUUGCAGAAUUUCCGUGAGUCAUCGAAUCUUUGAACGCACAUUGCGCCCAUUGGUAUUCCGAUGGGCAUGCCUGUUCGAGCGUCAUUAUCUUCCCUCAAACCUCGCGUUUGGUGUUGGGCCGCGCUGGUCCUCCCGUGACCAACUGGCUUCAAAAACAAUGGCGGCGUCCGUGGGACCCUCGGUGCAACGAGCUUCUAAGGAGCACGCGUCGAGUUUCAAGGACCUUCCGGGCCGGUCUCCUUCUAUAUCAUCACAAGGUUGACCUCGGAUCAGGUAGGAAUACCCGCUGAACUUAAGCAUAUCAAUA
rnacentral:rRNA from 1 species